UAUUAUAUAGUCCCCUAUUCCCUAUGUAGUCCACUAUUAUAUAGUCCCCUAUUCCCUAUGUAGUCCACUAUUAUAUAGUCCCCUAUUCCCUAUGUAGUCCACUAUUAUAUAGUCCCCUAUUCCCUAUGUAGUCCACUAUUAUAUAGUCCCCUGUAUAGGGACUAGUGUGUCGUUAGGGACUCAGUCUGGGUAUGGUAUUUAACAACGGCUUCUCCAGGCAUGCUGACUCAUCAGAACUAUACUAGACGUCUUCAUGUGAGGAACAUUAUGCAUUCUGUUUAGAUGAGCAGGACACCAGGUGAAACAUUAUGUUUAGAUGAGCAGGAUACCAGGUGAAACAUUGUGUUUAGAUGAGCAGGAUACCAGGUGAAACAUUGUGUUUAGAUGACCAGGAUACCAGGUGAAACAUUCUGUUUAGAUGAGCAGGAUACCAGGUGAAACAUUAUGUUUAGAUGACCAGGAUACCAGGUGAAACAUGUUUAGAUGACCAGGAUACCAGGUGAAACAUGUUUAGAUGAGCAGGAUACCAGGUGAAACAUGUUUAGAUGACCAGGAUACCAGGUGAAACAUGUUUAGAUGACCAGGAUACCAGGUGAAACAUUGUGUUUAGAUGACCAGGAUACCAGGUGAAACAUUCUGUUUAGAUGAGCAGGAUACCAGGUGAAACAUUAUGUUUAGAUGACCAGGAUACCAGGUGAAACAUGUUUAGAUGACCAGGAUACCAGGUGAAACAUGUUUAGAUGACCAGGAUACCAGGUGAAACAUGUUUAGAUGACCAGGAUACCAGGUGAAACAUUGUGUUUAGAUGAGCAGGAUACCAGGUGAAACAUUGUGUUUAGAUGAGCAGGAUACCAGGUGAAACAUUGUGUUUAGAUGAGCAGGAUACCAGGUGAAACAUUGUGUUUAGAUGAGCAGGAUACCAGGUGAAACAUUUGCCUGAAGACUCCAACUGAAUUCUCCCUCUAUGUUCUCUACAUACUUCAGUCUGAGACUGCCGUCUUGACACGUUUUCAAAACGCCGUUUUACCCACGUGUGUUCUGGCUCUGGGCCCAACCCAUCGGUUUCUGGACCAAUCAGUACAAUUAGAAUGUUUUUCCAUUCUAGAACUUGUCGGAGAGGGAGUCCGACCCAGACGAUGAGUCUGAGUAGCCAGACAACUGGAAAAGGAUACGUGUUCCAUGUGGAUUAAUACAGGUAUACACACACGCUCUCUCACUGGACAGUUUAUUAGGCACACCCAUCUAGUACUGGGUCAGACCCCCGCCCGACCCCACUUUGCCUCCAGAACAGCCUGAAUUCUUCGGGGGGAUUCUACAAGGUGUCGGAGACGUUCCGCAGAGAUGUUGGUCCAUUCUGACAUGAUGGCAGCACGCAGUUUGCUGCAGAUGGGACGGCGACACCUAUUCCAUUUCAUCCCGAAGAUGCUCCGUUGGGUUGAGGUCUAGUUCUGCACACCACCGAGGUACUGCGCUGUUAUUUUUCCUGUUUUGUUCGCAUGCACGAUUCUUUCCCUUGUCCUAGGACGAGCUGUUUUCACCCACAGGACUGCCGCUGACUGGAUAUUUGUCGAGACGUUUUUCGAUAAACCCUAGACACUGUCGUGCGUGAAACGCCCGGUUAAGGCGGCCGAUGAUCGUACCACGCUCAAAGGGUCGCUUAGGUCAAUAGUUUUUGUCCCGUCUAACGUUCGAUGGAACAGUAACUGAAUGCCUGUCUGCCUGCUUUAUAUAACAAGCCACGGUCACGUGACUCACUGUCUGUAGGAGGGAACCAUUUUUUUUGUGAAUGUGGGUGGUGUACCUAAUAAACUGUCCAGUGAGGGUUUACCUCAUCCCAUUAGUGAGUACAGUAAACACAUGUUAUAUAUGUGUGUAUUUUACUCCUGUUAUUCGGUUGACCAGGCUGUGCUGUAAGGUCAAAUGUGGACGUGUGCGGACCAUGCGCAGUGAUGAAGUUUCCCCUAGGUAAAGAUCUAGGGUCAGUCUAGGUUUAGAUCUAGGGUCAGUCUAGGUACAGAUCUAGGGUCAGUUUCCCCUAGAUUCAGAUUUCCGGUCAGUCUAGGGUCAGUUUCCCCUAGGUAAAGAUCUAGGAUCAGUUUCCCCUAGGUAAAGAUCUAGGGUCAGAUCUAGGAUCAGUUUCCCCUAGGUUCAGAUCUAGGGUCAGUCUAGGUACAGAUCUAGGGUCAGUUUCCCCUAGGUAAAGAUCUAGGAUCAGUUUCCCCUAGGUAAAGAUCUAGGGUCAGAUCUAGGAUCAGUUUCCCCUAGGUUCAGAUCUAGGGUCUGUCUAGGUACAGAUCUUGGGUCAGUUUCCCCUAGGUAAAGAUCUAGGGUCAGUCUAGGAUCAGUUUCCCCUAGGUACAGACCUAGGAUCAGUUUUCCCUAGGUACAGACCUAGGAUCAGUUUCCCCUAGGUACAGACCUAGGAUCAGUUUCCCCUGGGUACAGAUCUUGGGUCAGCUUCCGCUUUCCCAAAACCUGAACCUUAACCAUUAUUGGGGAAAAUGCUGAACUGACCCAAGAUCAGCAUCUAGGGGCAACUUCGCCCUGCUCUGUGAAGCUCCUGUGUUUUAACCCCUGUGCUGUCACAAAGGAGGGCGAUCGCUGUGAUUCUCUUGGCACUCUACUGUGUGUGUGUGUGUGUGUGUGUGUGUGUGCAGACAGUAUUCACACUCCUUGACUUUUCCCAAAUGUAGUUGUGUUACAGCCUGAAUUUUUAAAAUGUAUUAAAUGUAGAUGUUGUGUCUCCGGCCUCUACACACACUAUCCCAUAAUGUCAGAGUGGAAUUAUGUUUUUAGACAUUUUUACAAUCUAAUUAAAAAUGUAAAAUCUGA